rnacentral:rRNA from 1 species
UUGCGCCUACGGGGGGCAGCAGUGGGGAAUAUCGGGCAAUGGGCGCAAGCCUGACCCAGCAACGCCGCGUGAAGGAAGAAGGCUUUCGGGUUGUAAACUUCUUUUCUCAGGGACGAAGAAAGUGACGGUACCUGAGGAAUAAGCCACGGCUAACUACGUGCCAGCAGCCGCGGUAAUACGUAGGUGGCAAGCGUUAUCCGGAUUUAUUGGGUGUAAAGGGCGUGUAGGCGGGAGCGCCAGUCAGAUGUGAAAACUCAGGGGUCAAACCUGGGCCUGCCUUUGAAACUGUGUUUCAUGAGUGCUGG